UACGUAGGGCCCGAGCGUUAUUCGGUAUUAUUGGGCGUAAAGCGUACGUAGGCGGUACUAUAAGACAAUGGUUAAAUCUCCGGGCUCAACCCGGAAAUCGCCGUCGUGACUGUAGUACUAGUCGGUAGCAGGGGCAAGCGGAAUUCUCGGUGUAGGAGUGAAAUCCGUUGAGAUCGAGAAGAGCACCAAUGGCGAAGGCAGCUUGCUAGGCUAUUUGAGACGCUGAGGUACGAAAGCGUGGGGAGCGAACGGG
rnacentral:rRNA from 1 species